AAUGAAAGCAUUUGCUUAAGAAUGUUUACUUACCAGAGUGUGUAGUUGGAAUAGUCCAUCAAGUUAGAAUUUUUACUUCCUAGCUUCCGUGUGCUUCACUGGACAGUAGAACCCUGUUGUACUUAGAAAUGUCUUUGGAGUGAGAAGCAUGGCACUAUGUCAGUUCAGAUUCUCCCCACUCUUUCCUGAAUUAGAGCAGCAGCUUCCUUUCUGAUCUCCUUUGCAGUCUCCUCUCUUUCAUCACUGUGUUCUUACCAAAGAGAUUUUCUGAAAACAAGUUUAAUUAUGCCUCUAACCUGCCUAAGAUGUUCUGCUAUCUUUGCUACCAAACUCAGCAUAUUAUGCACAGACCUUCACAAGCUACUACCACCCAACCUCUUUAUGUUUGUUUCAGACCACUCCUUGCUACAUAUAUUUUGUUUUCUUAAGUACACCAUGCCCUUCUGUGUAUCUGACUUGCACAUACUGUUUCCCUUUUCUGGAAAGCACCUCCACUUUGCUCCACUUAAAUAAACAGUUCAAAUGGCACGUACUCCAUGAAGCCAUCCCCUAAUCUCCCAGGCAGAUUUAAACAGAUGGAUCAUGCCUUAGUCAUCUUUGUAUUUUUAGAACUUAUCACAGUAUCUAAUAUAGUACUGGCCUCUGCUAGGAACCAAGUUUGAAAAAAUUACAAAAAGGUGACUAUUACUAUUUUAUUUUUUUAAAAAUGAAAAC
rnacentral:lncRNA from 1 species